CGGAAGUUCGGGCGAGUGUUUGUGUGUGUGUGUUAGUGCUCUUGGACAGAUCACUGGAUAUAUAUGGAGGUGGACCUGGACUCCAGGAUGCAGUGCAUCACCAGCUAAAAAUGGAUGCUAUGGUCACUCGAAGAACCAGUUGACCGGAAGUUCCAGCGAAUGAUUGUGUGUGUGUUGGUGCUCUUGGACAGAUCGCUGGAAAUGUACGGAUAGAUAUGGAGGUGUUGCACUGAUAACAGGAUAUAUAUAUGGAGAUGUCAACUUGUUCAGUGCCUGCUACUCCCUUUGUGGAGUGACGAUACUUAGAAGCAGGCAAAUGGCAUGCGUUUUUAUGCCCAGGCAUCAAAGUUAAUUUGGCCCAGCGUCCAGGGCUUCGGGCUUUUGGGUCUGAAACUCUUUGAAGAACUCGGACUUACUCCCCCAACUAUUAGCCACUGUGGAGAAGUUCGACGGGAUUUUCGGCAGCCCUGCAAGUGAAAAAGUUGCCUUCGACGCCCCGUAAAAGUUCACCAUUCACCUGGGCCGCAAAAUCAACUG